GACAGAGGGUGCAAACGUUGCUCGGAAUCACUGGGCGUAAAGGGCGUGUAGGCGGGAAGGUAAGUCGGGCGUGAAAUCCCUAGGCUCAACCUAGGAACUGCACUCGAAACUGCGUUUCUUGAGUAUCGGAGAGGAAAGCGGAAUACCUGGUGUAGAGGUGAAAUUCGUAGAUAUCAAGAGGAACACCUGAGGUGAAGACGGGUUGCUGGGCUGACACUGACGCUGAGGCGCGAAAGCCAGGGGAGCAAACGGG
rnacentral:rRNA from 1 species